rnacentral:rRNA from 1 species
UACGGAGGGUGCAAGCGUUGUUCGGAAUCACUGGGCGUAAAGGGCGCGUAGGCGGUUUGAUAAGUCAGAUGUGAAAGCCCACGGCUUAACUGUGGAAGUGCAUUUGAAACUGUCAGACUUGAGUAUCGGAGGGGAAAGUGGAAUUCCCGGUGUAGAGGUGAAAUUCGUAGAUAUCGGGAGGAAUACCGGUGGCGAAGGCGACUUUCUGGCUGAAUACUGACGCUGAGGCGCGAAAGCGUGGGGAGCAAACAGG